UCUCCCUCCCUUUCUCUGUCUCUUCGUCUCUCUCGCUGACUUUUUAAAAAUGAGGACCCGUUCCCUGAACGUUCUGGACAGAGCAGACCUUGGUGCUUAAGCCGCGGUUGCAAUAGACAGCCCCAAAGGUAAACGUUUGCUCGAAACCCGCACGCCAGCUCUGCCACCCAGCCCGAUGGUGACUGAUCUUGAAAUCCAGAGACCACUGUCCACUUGCUGUUGUGAAUUUUAUUGGGACAAUAUUCUACAUGGACAUGACUCUUCCUGAGAGAAAAUCUCAAAAGUUAAAUGCAGUGUCAAGGCAGAACAGAGGAAUGAGCUAACUCACCUGAUGAGAAUGUGAUAAGAAGGUGUGCUUCAUAUCCAGAUGAUCUGAGAGCGGGGACCAUCUUCCAAUCCAAUGGACCUGAGUGUUGGAGAAUCCCAUCAGCUUGAUCCAACAGCUCGGAUUCCGGAAUUCAGAAAUGAAGGCUGCCUCAUGCACAUGUAUUAGAAGAACCCAACUAUGGCUCCAGAAACAGCUGCUCCCUGGACUGCAGGAAGAAUUGAAUCCCAGCUCUGGACGGAAGAGUUAUGAGAAGAUUCGAAGGAUCACUCAUCAUCAUCAUCAUCAUCAUCAUCAUCAUCCAGUUGAUCGUCGAAUUUCUCGAGUGGUCUCAGAGUCAUUGGCAGAGGACAGUGGGGCCAUAGUGCACCCAAGGUCCAGAAUCUCCAUCAGAUACAGCUUUGAUGUCUUCAUGGUACACCUUGCUCCAGAGCCAAGGACGAGCAGAUUUUGCCUAACUGAACACUUCUACUGAAGAAGUUCCAGCCCACUGCAUUUCAGUCUGAACUUUUCCAGCACCCAGAUAAAUUGAGCUAUUGGCCAGGAAAGAAGAUCUACUUCCUGCUCAGCCUCCAGUGACCACUCCAAAGUUGCAAGUACCACUUGGAUGCCCCAGAGAUUGUAAACACUAAAUCUAAGCUGCCCAGCCUGCUCCAGGAUUAGCUACUUGACAGUCACCAUGAAGCUAGUAAUUCAGAACUAAUCACAUUACCACAAUGCCAUUUAAUCUGUGCUUGGCAUCUUCAUCUUCAUUAAUAGAGCCAUCAACGUUUCAUCAGGUCUGGCUUGUGUUGAACACACAAAAGAACUAUGUGAAAAUGGGAGUAAUGGCUGGUGCAGAAGAGACAGGCAGAGCUGGAAGCCAACGGAGUGAAAAGCAAAGCAGAACAGAAGCAAUGGUGAUUACAGAGAGAUCAUAUUUCCCUAAUGCCUGCAACCAGCCUUACUCUAGAGCAGACAUCGCUGGAUCCUUCACUUCUGGCAUGAAACCAAGCCUCAACCUUUGCACUGGAUUUCACUGCCAGUCACUGGACCAGCUAGGAUGUGAGAUCCAAGUGAAGACCAUGCCUGAGUUUUGGCUAUCAUCUUCUUUAAAGGAUUAAUGGAUAGCUCUGGAACCAGUUUCUUUUCCAAGAGACCAGCUCUCAGAGCCUUUAAUAUGCUGCUCUACACUGGAAAUUUCCAAGAUUCAUCCUGAAUCCACUUGCCUUUUCCUCUUCAUGGGGCACCCAGGGCUUCAGGGAUCUCAGAAGAGAAAUAUGAAAUCUUUGGAUGUCAAGAAAUAAAAGUUUCCCUUUCCAGAAAGAUACUUUGGGCAUUUAGAAAGACUUUCGGUGGUGAGAAACUGCAGCUGGCUGGAAUUAUGGUACCUCGGAGUGAUAAGGCACCAUGUGAUGUCACAAAAGAGCACUGAAGAGAACUGUGGAGUUAUCAAUGACAACAUUUCUAAUUAUUUUUAGAUGAAGAAAGCAAGAUUCAGGCAAGGUAGAAUCUAAGACUUUUUCUGUUUUUUUUUUCUAGUUGUCUUUUUAUUAAAGUAUGUUGAUCUUUGUCUACAAGCAAGAUUUGAUAUGAGCAUGAUUACAUUGGCAGGAAAGACAGACAGACAUGCGUCCUAUAGUCAUCCUUGAAGUAGAGUGCUUGCACAAUAUUUCCCCAGAAAUAUGCGGCC